GAUGAAUGCUGGCGGCGUGCCUAACACAUGCAAGUCGAGCGGCAGCGCGAGUAGUUUACUACUUGGCGGCGAGCGGCGGACGGCUGAGUAACACGUGGGAGCGUGCCCCAGAGUGAGGGAUAACGCACCGAAAGGUGUGCUAAUACCGCAUAUGGUCUUCGGAUUAAAGAAUUUAUUCGCUUUGGGAGCGGCCCGCGUCGGAUUAGGUAGUUGGUAGGGUAAUGGCCUACCAAGCCGACGAUCCGUAGCUGGUCUGAGAGGAUGAUCAGCCAGACUGGAACUGAGACACGGUCCAGACUCCUACGGGAGGCAGCAGUGAGGAAUCUUCCACAAUGGGCGAGAGCCUGAUGGAGCAACGCCGCGUGCAGGAUGAAGGCCUUCGGGUUGUAAACUGCUUUUAUAAGUGAAGAAUAUGACGGUAACUUAUGAAUAAGCACCGGCUAACUACGUGCCAGCCGCCGCCGUAA
rnacentral:rRNA from 1 species